ACAGCAGCAGCCGCGGUAACACGGAGGAUCCAAGCGUUAUCCGGAUUUAUUGGGUUUAAAGGGUGCGUAGGCGGUUCUUUAAGUCAGGGGUGAAAGACGGUAGCUUAACUAUCGCAGUGCCUUUGAUACUGAAGAACUUGAAUACACUUGAGGUAGGCGGAAUGUGACAAGUAGCGGUGAAAUGCAUAGAUAUGUCACAGAACACCAAUUGCGAAGGCAGCUUACUAAAGUGUCAUUGACGCUGAGGCACGAAAGCGUGGGGAUCAAACAGGAUUAGAUACCCCCGUAGUCCCUGUCUCUUAUAC
rnacentral:rRNA from 1 species